CAGCAGCCGCGGGAAUACGUAGGGUCCGAGCGUUGUCCGGAAUUACUGGGCGUAAAGAGCUCGUAGGUGGUUUGUCGCGUUGUUCGUGAAAACUCACAGCUUAACUGUGGGCGUGCGGGCGAUACGGGCAGACUAGAGUACUGCAGGGGAGACUGGAAUUCCUGGUGUAGCGGUGGAAUGCGCAGAUAUCAGGAGGAACACCGGUGGCGAAGGCGGGUCUCUGGGCAGUAACUGACGCUGAGGAGCGAAAGCGUGGGGAGCGAACAGGAUUAGAUACCCCAGUAGUCCAUGUCUCUUAUAC
rnacentral:rRNA from 1 species